GAAUUCUUUGGUCGUGAGAGAAACUUGAAAGGACUGAAAAGGGCAUCCAUUCAGCUUGUAAACUGCACAUUGACAGAUGCAAUGAAGCUGUUGAGUCAUUCAGAGGUACAAUGGCUACCAGCCCGAACAUCCAGUUCAUGGGAAUUCAUGUUCACUAUCUGUAUGGCAUCGACAAGAAAUUAAAUGACAAAGAGAAAAUUGAGAAACGGGAGAAACGGAAUUUGAAACUAACAGAACUCACAAAAUAUGUCUCAGCUCUAAGAAAUUCUAAUGGUGGUUACUUACUUGUUCACAUUGUAGGUUUAAUC